GAAUACUUGUGGAUAGAUGAGUAUUCUUUAAGAAUUUUUCAUCAAUAUUUUGUAUUUUAAAAUAAUUUUCUUAAAAACUGCUAGUUUAUGAAAGUUUUUAUUUUCUUGAGAAAUAUUGUAGAUUUGGGAUUGUGAUUUAUAAAAUCAAUACAAUACUAAAAGUUGGAUAUAAUCAACAGAGAAGCUGUCCACGUCAUUAAGAAAAAAUUAACCAAUGAGAAUGCACAAUUCCUUUCAAAUCUGCCAUGUCAUUAAUCACUGAAUCGGGCUAAGUAUAUUGGGCUGUAAUGUAUUUCAUGUGGCCAAUUCACAGACAAAACUAUCUCUAAGCCCAAACAAAAUAUCAGACCAAACAUGUUCUAAGUUCACUUCGUCUUCCCAAAAACUAAAAACCUUAUUGUUUUUGUGUCUCACCGUUACUUUGUAGUUAAGUCCACGAUCAUUUUUCUUCUUCGUCAUUCCUUUAAUCCUCAUUGAUUUGAUCGUUCUAACUUCCUGUGUCCUCUUAUAUACCUCUUUUGACUCUUUCCUUCACGCUCAUUCAAGGAAAUCCAUAAAACAAACUCAUGCAAUGGCAACUCAAUCGGCAAAAUAUCUCUCCGGUGUGUUUUCUCUGAUCAUCAAACAUUCACCGUAAACGCCGCUGCUUCUCACUAGCUGACUGCUCGAAUCAUCCACAAGAUCAAGUUGCUAAAGGUGGCUACUCGAUUAUUCUCAAGCCUGAGGAUAGUAGCAGUGCAGCUUGGUUCACUACAAGAACUGUUGAAAGGUAUAUCACCAUAUACAUUGUCUUUAAAUGGGAGUUUUUGUGGUUUGAUUCUUGACCACCUGGACUAAAAUCGAGACUCUUUUUCUUCUUUGUUGUAGCUAGGUUUUGUUCCUGAGCAACCCAGAUGUCGUAGAACGUGUUUACACUAUGGGAACUGAGAUAACAAACAUGGCUUAAGUAAAUUGUAUCCAGAACAAUUGGGCAAUAAAUGUUCUAAGUAAGCUUUGGUUUUUAUAUAUACCCUUUUGUUGAAUUGAAAGUUUUAACUUGGAAUGUAUCAGCAAGUGGAUGAUGAUCAAACUUAUCAGAGAGUACAAAAGGUAUGCUAUAAUGAUGCCGACAGUUUUUUUUUAAUUCGAAUUACUAAGAUUUUGUUUGCCCCCUUGGCCCUUGAUCUUAACAUUUAACCAAUAUUUGAGAAUAUGGAUUAGGUACCAGGCCAUUGCUACGGCUCAACGAGAAGAAAGUUAUUGCCCACGAUUUUAGUUAGAACCAAAAUGUUUUCUGGAAUUGAAGGAGUUUUCUUCUCAACUUUUUCUCUGUAGGAAACAAUUAACUCCAUCUUCUUCCAUCUUUGAAUCUUAGCUUGGGCUAGAGAAGGUAAAUCUGUUUUACUGGACAAUUUAUUUUAAAGUUUUUGCUUCCACAUUGAAGACUCUCCAGCUUACAUAAGGAAUAAUAAGUUUGUCUUGCCGUGUGUUGAAAAAUAUAAUAUCUCUCUCUCAUCUAAUGUGCCUUAAUUGAUAUGAUGUACAAGGUACAUGACAGAGACACUUGGGAUUAGCCAAGAAAAUCAAGAAUGGGACGUCAAAAACUGUUCUUGAGAAAGUAGAAGAGGCGAGGGAUGCUGCAUUAUCUGCUCUUAAGGAGCACAUGAAUGUCCAAACUUUAACACGGUAAAGACAUAGAAAAAUCAGGUGCUGCCUUGGCCGUAUAAUCAGAUGUUAACUUGACCGAUCCAAUUCCUAAUAGAAAACAAUCCCAGUUUGUCUAGAAUUUGUUUACAUAUAUGAUUGCUCGCUUCUUCUGCUACAUGCUUGGUAUUACAAAUAAUUAUACCAUGGGUAAUAUAUAAAUAAUUUGGAACGUGCCGUUCAAAUUCCUAAUUUUCAUCCUACAUGAACAAUAAGCAAAAAUAGACAAACAAAAAAAAAAAUUACAAAAGAUAGUGAUGAUGACUACAAUAGUACAAUGUGUGUGUAUAUAUUUUUGUGUAAAAUUCUUUCUUGAAAUUAAGUUGAUCUUUAUUUAGCAAAUCACAUGGGUUGUGGACAUGAUAAGUAACAACUAAAUUUAGUUUGGCCUUCCAAAUCAACUGAAGACUAAUUUAUGAAGUUAUUUAUAGUUAAAUAACAACUAAAUAUAACAGUUUCUAAGUUUAUGAAAAAUUAGCCCAACAAAUUAGAUUGUAUCCUAUGAUAUAAAAAAGAAUUUAAAAUACAUUUACAACCAAAAA